GAUGAACGCUAGCUACAGGCUUAACACAUGCAAGUCGAGGGGAAACGGCAUCGAAAGCUUGCUUUUGAUGGGCGUCGACCGGCGCACGGGUGAGUAACGCGUAUCCAACCUGCCCAUCACUUGGGAAUAACCUUGCGAAAGUAAGACUAAUGCCCAAUGACAUCCCACGAAGGCAUCCGAAUGGGAUUAAAGAUUUAUCGGUGAUGGAUGGGGAUGCGUCUGAUUAGCUUGUUGGCGGGGUGACGGCCCACCAAGGCAACGAUCAGUAGGGGUUCUGAGAGGAAGGUCCCCCAGAUUGGAACUGGGACACGGUCGAAACUCCUACGGGAGGCAGCAGUGAGGAAUGUUGGUGGAUGGGCGAGAGCCUGAACCAGCCAAGUAGCGUGCAGGAUGGCGGCCCUAUGGGUUGUAAACUGCUUUUAGAAGGGCAUAAAGUGGGUCACGUGUGACUUUUUGCAUGUACCUGAUGAAUAAGGACCGGCUAAUUCCGUG
rnacentral:rRNA from 1 species